ACGAAGUUUGUCCUCGGACAAUUUUCUCAUCCUUUUCCUGUGAAUCUUAUUGAUUUUACUUUGGUCAGGAAGUAACAUUCUUGGCCAAAAGAUUAAAACCCAAACUAUUUAAUUUUUACGUCUGAACUGAAAUUAUUGAAUUAAUCA
rnacentral:misc_RNA from 1 species